UGCAAUCGAUGAUGCUAUUUACCCAUAUCUUCUGAUUUAUUGUGAUUGUCAUUUAAGUUAUCACCAUCUUUCGACUGAGGUUGCA
rfam:Ipomoea nil DNA, scaffold: scaffold2704, cultivar: Tokyo-kokei standard.